rnacentral:misc_RNA from 1 species
GAUGAAGAACGGCAGCGAAAUGCGAUACGUAAUGUGAAUUGCAGAAUUCAGUGAAUCAUCGAGUCUUUGAACGCACAUUGCGCCCCCUGGUAUUCCGGGGGGCAUGCCUGUCCGAGCGUCAUUGCUGCCCUCAAGCACGGCUUGUGUGUUGGGCCUCCGCCCCCCGGCUCCCGGGGGGCGGGCCCGAAAGGCAGCGGCGGCACCGCGUCCGGUCCUCGAGCGUAUGGGGCUUCGUCACCCGCUCCGUAGGCCCGGCCGGCGCCCGCCGGCGACCCCCCUCAAUCUUUCCAGGUUGACCUCGGAUCAGGUAGGGAUACCCGCUGAACUUAAGCAUAUCAAUAAGCGGAGGA